GGUAGCACAGAGAGCUUGCUCUCGGGUGACGAGCGGCGGACGGGUGAGUAAUGUCUGGGAAACUGCCUGAUGGAGGGGGAUAACUACUGGAAACGGUAGCUAAUACCGCAUAACGUCGCAAGACCAAAGUGGGGGACCUCGGGCCUCAUGCCAUCAGAUGUGCCCAGAUGGGAUUAGCUAGUAGGUGGGGUAACGGCUCACCUAGGCGACGAUCCCUAGCUGGUCUGAGAGGAUGACCAGCCACACUGGAACUGAGACACGGUCCAGACUCCUACGGGAGGCAGCAGUGGGGAAUAUUGCACAAUGGGCGCAAGCCUGAUGCAGCCAUGCCGCGUGUGUGAAGAAGGCCUUCGGGUUGUAAAGCACUUUCAGCGGGGAGGAAGGCGGUGAGGUUAAUAACCUCAUCGAUUGACGUUACCCGCAGAAGAAGCACCGGCUAACUCCGUGCCAGCAGCCGCGGUAAUACGGAGGGUGCAAGCGUUAAUCGGAAUUACUGGGCGUAAAGCGCACGCAGGCGGUCUGUCAAGUCGGAUGUGAAAUCCCCGGGCUCAACCUGGGAACUGCAUUCGAAACUGGCAGGCUAGAGUCUUGUAGAGGGGGGUAGAAUUCCAGGUGUAGCGGUGAAAUGCGUAGAGAUCUGGAGGAAUACCGGUGGCGAAGGCGGCCCCCUGGACAAAGACUGACGCUCAGGUGCGAAAGCGUGGGGAGCAAACAGGAUUAGAUACCCUGGUAGUCCACGCUGUAAACGAUGUCGAUUUGGAGGUUGUGCCCUUGAGGCGUGGCUUCCGGAGCUAACGCGUUAAAUCGACCGCCUGGGGAGUACGGCCGCAAGGUUAAAACUCAAAUGAAUUGACGGGGGCCCGCACAAGCGGUGGAGCAUGUGGUUUAAUUCGAUGCAACGCGAAGAACCUUACCUGGUCUUGACAUCCACAGAACUUUCCAGAGAUGGAUUGGUGCCUUCGGGAACUGUGAGACAGGUGCUGCAUGGCUGUCGUCAGCUCGUGUUGUGAAAUGUUGGGUUAAGUCCCGCAACGAGCGCAACCCUUAUCCUUUGUUGCCAGCGGUCCGGCCGGGAACUCAAAGGAGACUGCCAGUGAUAAACUGGAGGAAGGUGGGGAUGACGUCAAGUCAUCAUGGCCCUUACGACCAGGGCUACACACGUGCUACAAUGGCAUAUACAAAGAGAAGCGACCUCGCGAGAGCAAGCGGACCUCAUAAAGUAUGUCGUAGUCCGGAUUGGAGUCUGCAACUCGACUCCAUGAAGUCGGAAUCGCUAGUAAUCGUAGAUCAGAAUGCUACGGUGAAUACGUUCCCGGGCCUUGUACACACCGCCCGUCACACCAUGGGAGUGGGUUGCAAAAGAAGUAGGUAGCUUAACCUUCGGGAGGGCGCUUACCACUUUGUGAUUCAUGACUGGGGUGAAGU
rnacentral:rRNA from 1 species